rnacentral:rRNA from 1 species
GAUGAACGCUAGCUACAGGCUUAACACAUGCAAGUCGAGGGGCAGCACAGUGUAGCAAUACACGGGUGGCGACCGGCGCACGGGUGCGUAACGCGUAUCCAACCUUCCCGUUACUCAGGGAUAGCCUUCCGAAAGGGAGAUUAAUACCUGAUGGUAUUCAAAUUUCGCAUGUUAUUUGAAUUAAAGAUUUAUCGGCAAAGGAUGGGCCUGCGUCUGAUUAGCUAGUUGGUGGGGUAACGGCCUACCAAGGCGACGAUCAGUAGCCGACCUGAGAGGGUGAUCGGCCACAUUGGAACUGAGACACGGUCCAAACUCCUACGGGAGGCAGCAGUGGGGAAUAUUGGGCAAUGGGGGAAACCCUGACCCAGCAACGCCGCGUGAAGGAAGAAGGCCUUCGGGUUGUAAACUUCUUUUAGCAGGGACGAAGAACGUGACGGUACCUGCAGAAAAAGCAACGGCUAACUACGUG